GCAAAAUCGACAACGGCCUCAGAUGUUAUUCUAUAUCGCUAAGCACCUUUAAGAAAAUGAAUGUAGCGCGAAAUGUAAAUCUUGCCAGAGGGCAGCCCUCCGGCAAGAAUCUUUCUGCCUGUGUAUUCGACACUAUAACUCAUGAUAAAACAGCGAGGUGGAUUAACUAGUUAGUCUAGAAGUGUAUAGGAAGAGGGAAGAGGCAAAAGAAGAGACAGAUUCAAGCAACGCAGUUUCAGCAGAGUGUCCAUUCCAUCAGUCGUUAUUAAAGGAGGUUACAUGAUGUCGUCUUCUGGAUCAACGCCCCCUCUAUCGUCGCCAGUGCCCAACAACAAUCACAUCUAUAAAAUAUCGGGGGUACCUUUCCCGGCAACACCCACCCGCUACACGGCCCCAGUUCAUAUCGAUGUGGGUGGCACCAUCUAUACCUCGUCAUUAGAAACACUUACAAAGUAUCCGGAGUCGAAGCUUGGAAAGAUGUUCAACGGAAGCAUCCCAAUUGUCCUUGACAGUCUCAAACAGCACUACUUCAUCGACAGAGAUGGUGAGAUCUUCCGCUAUAUUCUCAACUAUGUGCGAACCUCAGAACUUCUUCUUCCAGACCCGUUCCCACACCUCGACAUGUUACUUUACGAGGCCAAGUUUUAUGAUAUACCCGAUAUGAUCCGAGAUAUCGAGAAUUUGUCCAACAAACGUAAAUCAGGGCAUAAGAAAUAUAAAGAUGGCAGUGUGGCAGAAUGCUGCGAUUGUGUCGCAGUGAACGUCACUCCCGACCUCGGAGAACGUGUUUGUAUCAGCGCCGAGCGUCCUCUGGUGGAAGAGAUUUUCCCAGAAUUGAACUCCGCUCUCAUGGACUCUAGAAAUACGGGAUAUAAUCUUGAUAGCCGAUACGUCAUUAGGUUCCCUGUGAAUGGAUUCUGUAACCUGAAUUCCUUGCAAGUUAUGCAACGCUUGUUGCAGCAUGGCUUUGAUGUGGUCGCCUCUAACGGAGGAUCGGGAGAAGGACAACAAUUCAGUGAAUAUUUAUUUUGUAGGAAAGGGGGCGCUGCAACAAUAAUCAGUAAUUCAAACGAUAGAAGUAGCCCAAUAAGGUCAAAUUGAAUUCAAUGAAAUCAUACCAUUUGAAAUGAUGACCGGUUAAGCAUUGCUGGCUCUGAAGGUGUGAUUGUCUGAGGAAUAGCCAACUUUGCACAUACUAAGACCCCGGGCUAAGACUAUGAGAGAACGAACACAAUUAACAAUUACUUUUAUUUAUAGUGAUCAAGAAACAGCUAGAACACUCAUAAACUCGUCCAUCUUGACAGUACAUGCUCAAGUCGCCAGUGAAUAAGGUCUUAAAACCAAGUUCAUUAAGAGUAGUUAAAUGUGCAAAAGCAGGGACCAUAUUUGGAAAAGGUCGGGUUUUUCAGAAAUUGGAGUUGCGCGGCAAGUAAUUGCGUGGCCAAAGGCCGCGCAUCUGAGGAGACGAGGGGGUGUUCAGGGAAUCUGUACACCUGAAGUUUUUGUUAACAAGGAGGAUUGGCUCCCAGGGUUCC
rnacentral:misc_RNA from 1 species